AGUGGGGAAUCUUGCGCAAUGGCCUAACGGCUGACGCAGCGACGCCGCGUGGGGGAUGACGCUUUUCGGAGUGUAAACCCCUGUUGCCCGGGACGAACCUGGUCUUUCGAGACCACUGACGGUACCGGGUGAGGAAGCACCGGCUAACUCCGUGCCAGCAGCCGCGGUAAUACGGAGGGUGCGAGCGUUGUCCGGAAUCACUGGGCGUAAAGGGCGCGUAGGCGGCCGCGUGAGUCGGUGGUGAAAGCUCGGAGCUCAACUCCGAGUCGGCCAUCGAUACUGCGCGGCUUGAGCACGGUAGAGGCAGGUGGAAUUCCGGGUGUAGCGGUGGAAUGCGUAGAGAUCCGGAAGAACACCGGUGGCGAAGGCGGCCUGCUGGGCCGUGGCUGACGCUGAGGCGCGACAGCGUGGGGAGCAAA
rnacentral:rRNA from 1 species